rnacentral:snoRNA from 1 species
CCUCUUCUCAGAACACGUCCAGGGUCUGGUUAGUGGCUCUGGAAGCUGUCAGGGAAGAGCAGAGCACAUGCCCCUUACUUUGUGGGUCAGAUGACAGCCAGAUGUACUGUUGUCUGCACCGCUGGUGGAGACACCU